GAUGAACGCUAGCUACAGGCUUAACACAUGCAAGUCGAGGGGCAGCAUUACGGUAGCUUGCUACUGUAGAUGGCGACCGGCGCACGGGUGAGUAACGCGUAUCCAACCUGCCCAUGACUUGGGGAUAACCUUGCGAAAGCAAGCCUAAUACCCGAUACGCUUCAUAGAUGGCAUCUGAAAUGAAGUAAAGGUUUACGGUUAUGGAUGGGGAUGCGUCCGAUUAGCUUGUUGGCGGGGUAACGGCCCACCAAGGCAUCGAUCGGUAGGGGUUCUGAGAGGAAGGUCCCCCACAUUGGAACUGAGACACGGUCCAAACUCCUACGGGAGGCAGCAGUGAGGAAUAUUGGUCAAUGGAGGCAACUCUGAACCAGCCAAGUAGCGUGCAGGAUGACGGCCCUAUGGGUUGUAAACUGCUUUUAUGCGGGGAUAAAUUGACUCACGUGUGGGUUAUUGCAGGUACCGCAUGAAUAAGGACCGGCUAAUUCCGUGCCAGCAGCCGCGGUAAUACGGAAGGUCCGGGCGUUAUCCGGAUUUAUUGGGUUUAAAGGGAGCGUAGGCCGUUGUUUAAGCGUGUUGUGAAAUGUCCCGGCUCAACCGUGGCACUGCAGCGCGAACUGGACGACUUGAGUGCGCGGAACGUAUGCGGAAUUUGUGGUGUAGCGGUGAAAUGCUUAGAUAUCACGAAGAACUCCGAUUGCGAAGGCAGCAUACGGCAGCGCUACUGACGCUGAAGCUCGAAAGCGCGGGUAUCGAACAGG
rnacentral:rRNA from 1 species